GUAGAUGAAGAGAACCCAGUUAAACAAAUGAGACAAUAUUAUACUUGGUCACUUAUUUAUUGAGGAAAAUGAUCCAGUAUUACAUGUCUGUGAGUUGCAAAAGUAUGUGAAUCUUUGCUUUCAGUAUGUGGUGUGACCCCCUUGUGCAGCAAUAACUGCAACUAAACAUUUCCGGUAACUGUCCUGCACAUCGGCUUGGGGGAAUUUUAGCCCGUUCCUCAGUACAGAACAGCUUCAACUCUGGGAUGUUGGUGGGUUUCCUCACAUGAACUGCUUGCUUCAGGUCCUUCUACAACAUUUCUAUUGGAUUAAGCUCAGGACUUUGACUUGGCCAUUCCAAAACAUUAACUUUAUUCUUCUUUAAACAUUCUUUGGUAGAACGACUUGCAUGCUUAGGGUCGUUGUCUUGCUGCAUGACCCACUUUCUCCUGAGGUUCAGUUCAUGGACAGAUGUCCUGAUAUUUUCCUGUAGAAUUGACUGGAAUAAUUCAGAAUUCAUUGUACCAUCAAUGAUGGCAAGCCGUCCCAACUCGGAUGCAGCAAAACAGGCCCAUCCAUGAUACAACCACCACCAUGUUUCACAGAUGGGAUAAGGUUCUUAUGCUGGAAUGCAGUGUUUUUCAUUCUCCAGACAUAACGCUCUUCAUUUAAACCACAAAUUCUGUUUUGGUCUCAUCCAUCCACAAAACAUUUUCCAAUAGCCUUCUGGCUUGUCCAUGUGAUCUUUAACAAACUUCAGAUGGGCAGCAAUGUUCUUUUUGGAGAGCAGUGGCUUUCUCCUUGCAACUCUGCCAUGCACACCAUUGUUGUUCAGUGAUCUCCUGAUGGUGGACUCAUGAACAUUAACAUUAGCCAAUGUGAGAGAGGCCUUAGAAGUUUCUUAGAAGUUACCCUGGGUUCCUUUGUGACCUCAUGGACUAUUACACGUCUUGCUCUUGGAGUGAUCUUUGUUGGUCGACCACUCCUGAGGAGGGUAACAAUGGUCUUAAAUUUCCUCCAUUUCUACACAGUCUAUCUGACUAUGGUUUGGUGGAGUCCAAACUCUUUAUUGAUAGUUUUGUAACCUUUUCCAGCCUGAUGAACAUCAACAACUCUUUUUCUGAGGUCCUCAGAAAUCUCCUUUGUUCAUGCCAUGAUACACUUCCACAAACAUGUGUUGUGAAGAUCAGACUUUGAUAUAUCCCUGUUCUUUAAAUAAAACAGAACACUCACUCACACCUUAUUGUCAUCUCAUUGAUUGAAGUCACCUGACUCUAAUUUCACCUUCAAAUUAACUGCUAAUCCUAGAGGUUCACAUACUUUUGCCACUCACAGAUAUGUAAAGUUGGAUCAUUUUCCUAAAUAUAUAAAUGACCAAGUAUAACAUUUUUGUCUCAUUUGUUUAAUUGGGUUCUAUUGAUCUACUUUUAGAACUUGUGUGAAAAUCUGAUGAUGUUUGAGGUCAUAUUAUGCAGAUAUAUAGAAAAUUCUAAAGGGUUCACAAACUUUCAAGCACCACUGUAUGUGCUUUAAAUGUUUUUGAUGUUACUCUUCGUUCAGUCGUACAACUUGGUACCAUCAUUAUGCAUGUUAUGCAUCAUUAUGCAUUAUGCAUGAGUAGUGUUGGCAAGUACAAGUACAUCGGCUGGCCAAUAUAUUAGGCUGAUAUUUCCUUUCUUUUUUUUUUGCAUUAAAUCCAUCCACUGCAAACACAUUACAUGACCCUCUAGAGAAAAAAAAAGGGGUUUUAAAAUGUAGAAACAAUUUGCCUGAUGGUAGUUUGACCCCAAUACUUACUUUCCAUGCUUCACUACAGUAACAUUUUAUGUGAGAAUGUCUAAUAAGAUAUUAAAGCAUUUUAAUCUCUGUGUAUCCACAAAGACACACACAAAACGAGACAAGAAUAUGGUAUGGAGUUCAUUUGGUGCAAAAUGUUUUUAAACAUUUUUUACCUUAUCACUUACUGUUUGGGCGUGAGGGUUUUAAAAAGGCACACACCCUAAAUGUGUGUUUGCCAGCUGGAAUUUGGAGUGUCAUGUCAUCUGACCCCUGAGUACACCCACUCAGUGAACUGUGACAUUUCAUUCAAUAUAGCAAACUACUCAGCAGCAAAUUCUUCUAUAAUUGCAGUAUAGACACUGUUAACAGAAAUGAUAAGUUUGACACAUUUAGUGUUAGAUGCGAAGCUAAUGGGAUUUUUAACGGAAAAUUUGAACAUUAAACAUGUUCAUGCAAAAUGUCAAUGCUUACAGGAAUACCUACAUAAAUAAAGGAGAUUUCAGACUUUUAAUUGUCUGGAAUGGGUCUGGUAGCCUGAUCAUACAUGUUACAGGACUCAUUAGACACUAUUCAUGCUUAAACACAGACUGAUUGAAAAGAUGAUCUACAACAGUGUUUAAAUGUUUUAUGUUUCCUUUUUUAGAGUGGAUAUAUAAAGUCUACACACCCCUGUUUAAAUUGUAGGUUUUUGUGAUGUACAAAAAUGAAACCAAGAUCAAUCAUGUUAAAUCUUGUAUAUCAUAUGAUAUAUAACACAAAUGCAUGUGUAAGUGACAAACUUUGAUGAAACGUGAAGAGAGACAAAGCUUUAAGACACAGUGGCAUUCAUGGUAAAUUCCAGAUAAAACGCAAUGUCCAAUGGGUAGGUCUUGUAAGUAUAAGUUGUUAAAACUAGGCUGAUCUUAAAGAAUUCUUAAAGAAGCCCUGACCUCAGCUGCACUGAACACCUUUGGGAUGAACUUGAAUGCCAACUGCUUACCAGGCCUCCUCAUCCAACAUCAGCGCCUGACAUCAGUAAUGCAGUGGUAGCUCAGUGAUUAAGACAUUAGACUACUGAUCAGAAGGUUGUGAGUUCAAAUCCCAGCACUGCUAAGCUGCAACUGUCACUCAUUGAGCAAGUCCCUUAUCCCUCAACUACUCAGUUGUAUAAACAUGAGAUAAAUGCUCUGGAUAAGGAGUUUCCAAAUUACAUUUCUCAAGUCUACCAAAUGCCAUAAAUGUAAAAAAAUAAAAUAAACACCAAUGUAAUGCUCUUGUGGUUGAAUGGACACAAAUCCCCAUAUUCCAAAACCUAGUGGAAGGCCUUCCCAGAAGAGUUGAAUUUAUUAUAACAGUACAAUGGUAGACCUAAUAGACCUAAUGUGUGUGAUGGUCAGGUGUCCACAUACUUUGGACCAUAUAUUGUGACUGAUAAAAUGGCAAACACAAAUGAUCUCACAUCAGAUAGGUAAUACAGUGUAGUCUUCCAGGUCAGAAAUUACCAGAAAUGUUUUUCAUGAAAAGAUGAAUCCUUUAUAGGUGUUGUGCCUCAAACCUUGAGAUAAAUUUGUAAUUAAUCAUAGCUGUAAUAAUUGAGAUUACAGAUCAUUCUUUAAAGCUUUGUAACAGGUAGCAAGCUCUACGAAGGCAUUUCACACACUUGCACUCUGUCUUCUUCGUGUUUGUGCUGCAACCUGCUCUGUUUUCAGAGUUCACUGAAGAGCACUUGGAACUAGGUUUCUGCUUACUGACUUGAUUGACCUACCUCGCAUGUCAAAAUCAGCCAAGCAGCAAAUUAAUUUAGUCACUCCA
ensembl:lncRNA